rnacentral:rRNA from 1 species
GGGCUCACACAAGCGGUGGAGGAUGUGGCUUAAUUCGAGGCUACGCGAAGAACCUUAUCCUAGUCUUGACAUGCACGGAUUAACUCGGUGAAAGCCGAGCCAGGCCUUCGGGUACAACGUGCACAGGUGCUGCAUGGCUGUCGUCAGCUCGUGUCGUGAGAUGUCGCGUUAAGUCGCUUAACGAGCGAAACCCUUGUCUCUAGUUGCCAGCGAGUAAAGUCGGGGACUCUAGAGAGACCGCCGGCGUUAAGCCGGAGGAAGGUGGGGAUGACGUCAAGUCCUCAUGGCCCUUAUGACUAGGGCUGCACACGUCCUACAAUGGAGCGCACAAAGGGAAGCAAUGCCGCGAGGCCGAGCAAA